CCGCCGCAGUAACACAUGCAAGUCGAACGGGUCCUUCGGGACUAGUGGCGGACGGGUGAGUAACGCGUGGGAACGUGCCCUUUGCUACGGAAUAGCCCCGGGAAACUGGGAGUAAUACCGUAUACGCCCGAGAGGGGAAAGAUUUAUCGGCAAAGGAUCGGCCCGCGUUGGAUUAGGUAGUUGGUGGGGUAAUGGCCUACCAAGCCGACGAUCCAUAGCUGGUUUGAGAGGAUGAUCAGCCACACUGGGACUGAGACACGGCCCAGACUCCUACGGGAGGCAGCAGUGGGGAAUCUUAGACAAUGGGGGGAACCCUGAUCUAGCCAUGCCGCGUGAUCGAUGAAGGCCUUAGGGUUGUAAAGAUCUUUCAGAUGGGAAGAUAAUGACGGUACCAUCAGAAGAAGCCCCGGCUAACUCCGUGCCAGCCGCCGCUGUAAAAC
rnacentral:rRNA from 1 species